GACGAACGCUGGCGGCGUGCUUAACACAUGCAAGUCGAGCGGUAAGGCCCUUUCGGGGGUACACGAGCGGCGAACGGGUGAGUAACACGUGGGUGACCUGCCCUCAGCUCUGGGAUAAGCCUGGGAAACUGGGUCGUAAUACCGGAUAUGACUCCAUGACGCAUGUUGUGGGGUGGAAAGCCUUGGUGCGGCUGAGGAUGGGCCCNGGCCUAUCAGCUUGUUGGUGGGGUGANGGGCCUACCAAGGCGACGA
rnacentral:rRNA from 1 species